AUACGUAGAGAGCAAGCGUUGUCCGGAAUUACUGGGCGUAAAGGGUAUGCAGGCGGAUAGGCAAGUCAAAUGUGAAAUGUAUGGGCUUAACCUGUAAGUUGCAUUUGAAACUGCUUAUCUUGAGUCUAGGAGAGGAGAGUGGAAUUCCUGGAGUAGCGGUGGAAUGCGUAGAUAUCAGGAAGAACACCAGUGGCGAAGGCGGCUCUCUGGCCUAAGACUGACGCUGAGGUACGAAAGCUGGGGGAUCGAACGGGAUUAGAUACCCCGGUAGUCCCAGCCGUAAACGAUGGACACUAGGUGUUGGAGGUUCGAAUCCUUCAGUGCCGGAGUUAACGCGAUAAGUGUCCCGCCUGGGGAUUACGGUCGCAAGACUGAA
rnacentral:rRNA from 1 species